rnacentral:lncRNA from 1 species
AAGAUAUUGCUGUGUCUCUAACGGUAAAGACAUAGUCCAUUUGAGAACGUGCCCUAUGUGAGUCAAACAGAUAACGAGCAUCUGCGUAACCAAUGAGGCGAGAAUUAACUCGAGGACCCAGGAGGGGCAGCAGCUCAUCUCGAGGAUUCAUGGGUAUAUAACAAGCCUAAAUCUGUCGUACCUUUGAGGUAGCAAAAAAUAUCUUUAACACAAUUUCAGUGUUUGUGUGUAGGCGCAUUGCUGUAUCUAGCCAAAAGGUUAACAACGAAGAAGAUGUCAGGUCUAGUGCAUUG